GGGAUACCACUUGGAAACAGGUGUUAAUGCCGGAUAACAACAAUAGCUGCAUGGCUAUUGCUUAAAAGGCGGCGAAAGCUGUCGCUAAAGGAUGGACCCGCGGUGCAUUAGCUAGUUGGUAAGGUAAUGGCUUACCAAGGCGACGAUGCAUAGCCGAGUUGAGAGACUGAUCGGCCACAUUGGGACUGAGACACGGCCCAAACUCCUACGGGAGGCAGCAGUAGGGAAUCUUCCACAAUGGGCGAAAGCCUGAUGGAGCAACGCCGCGUGAGUGAAGAAGGUUUUCGGAUCGUAAAGCUCUGUUGUUGGUGAAGAAGGAUAGAGGUAGUAACUGGCCCCUAUUUGACGGUAAUCAACCAGAAAGUCACGGCUAACUACGUGCCAGCAGCCGCGGUAAUACGUAGGUGGCAAGCGUUGUCCGGAUUUAUUGGGCGUAAAGCGAGCGCAGGCGGAAAGAUAAGUCUGAUGUGAAAGCCCCCGGCUUAACCGAGGAAUUGCAUCGGAAACUGUGUUUCUUGAGUGCAGAAGAGGAGAGUGGAACUCCAUGUGUAGCGGUGGAAUGCGUAGAUAUAUGGAAGAACACCAGUGGCGAAGGCGGCUCUCUGGUCUGUAACUGACGCUGAGGCUCGAAAGCAUGGGUAGCGAACAGGAUUAGAUACCCUGGUAGUCCAUGCCGUAAACGA
rnacentral:rRNA from 1 species